rnacentral:rRNA from 1 species
CGCACGCAGGCGGUCUGUCAAGUCGGAUGUGAAAUCCCCGGGCUCAACCUGGGAACUGCAUUCGAAACUGGCAGGCUUGAGUCUUGUAGAGGGGGGUAGAAUUCCAGGUGUAGCGGUGAAAUGCGUAGAGAUCUGGAGGAAUACCGGUGGCGAAGGCGGCCCCCUGGACAAAGACUGACGCUCAGGUGCGAAAGCGUGGGGAGCAAACAGGAUUAGAUACCCUGGUAGUCCACGCCGUAAACGAUGUCUACUUGGAGGUUGUGCCCUUGAGGCGUGGCUUCCGGAGCUAACGCGUUAAGUAGACCGCCUGGGGAGUACGGCCGCAAGGUUAAAACUCAAAUGAAUUGACGGGGGCCCGCACAAGCGGUGGAGCAUGUGGUUUAAUUCGAUGCAACGCGAAGAACCUU